AGUAAACAAAUAAACGUGAAAUGGAAAUCUCAACACAGAAGUUUUUGUGUAUACUAACACUUGUAACUAUAAUUGCAAACAGAAGCUAUGUAAAGGUAUCAUCUACUAUCAAGCUGGACUCUACAGACACUCUAUGUCUCAAAGCAGAUCAGAUUUCAACAAACGAAUCACAAAAACAAAAAUAGAUGACUCUUUUCCUGAUGCAGAAUUUGAAGUUGAUAGUUACCACAUAUGGGAGCUGAUAGAAACCAACAUGGAGGAGAUACACCAGAACUGCUGAAAUCCCCCAAGUAAGAACAUCAAGUUACGGCAUCAACUCU